rnacentral:lncRNA from 10 species
GCUAAUUUUAUGUAUUUUUAGUAGAGACAGGGUUUCACCAUCUCUAUCUCCUGACCUCUUGAUCUGCCCGCCUCCGCCUCCCAAAGUGCUGGGAUUACAGGCGUGAGCCACAGCGCCCGGCCCAAAAAUCCAUUCUUAAUGGCUUUCUCUUCUGAUGCAAAAUCCUGAUUGCCUUCAAAUAUUACUAUUAGAUAGAAAUCUCCCCACCUUUAGCUGAAAGAGAUAAGGAGGUUUUGCACUGAGGAAACAAACAAACAAACAAGCAAACAACAUUCAUCAAUUUUUAAAAAAAGUAUGUAUUGAACUAUAGUCAGGUUCAAUGAGGAAAUGCAUUACAUUGUCACUAAACUGGCCUUAGUUGGAGAAAGAACACUGGCAGAUUAAUUAAAGUUAUUAGCGCUUAUGGUAGGAAACUGCAUGAUAUAUGUGAAAGAUCUUUUAGGGACUGGAAACACAGUGUAAAUUCAAACUCCUCCCAAAACUUUAACAAGGCUGGAUGAAAUGAAAGGAAUACUGUGAUUUCUACAAUUGACAACAGUGUCAGGCAUGCAGGAAACAAACAAAACCUUUUGAUGAAGGAAAAGUAACUUCUGGACAAAGUAUAAUUGGUUACAGGUAAACAGAUAUGUCAUCCAGGCAGAUAUGACAGUUUAUAGGAAAAAUAUAAUGUUAUGAUCUAAAAAAUGCAAGCCACAAACCUAUUGCCUGGGCAAUAAUUAGCCUGAAGUUGGGCUACUAAGGAGCUGGCUAAGCAGCAGUGAUAACACCAGAUACUGGAAGAAACUUCUGUGAUCAGAAACCAAUACAACUAGUGAACAAUUCACAGUAUUUCUAAAUCCGGGCACCAAGGAAGUUGUUUGGUUAGUCAUGAUGGAAGCCAGGAACAAAUAGAUCUCAAAUGUGUGAUAAUAAUUAUCAAGCGGAAUGUCUAGAAUAUUAUAGUGAGUGCCAAGAUUUCCAUCUAAGACAUUACCAACAUAGCAACUGAGGCAUGAAUUACAGGUUUUACACAAAAAAAGCAUUAUAAGAAUAAUACAUAUAAUAUAUUAACAGUUCAAAAGUGAAACAAACAUUUAUGAAUGGGCUACUCAGAUUUAAAAUAAAAUAUUGCCUGUUCAUUGAAUGCUUUCUGGAUUUUACUUUCUAAUUGUAUACCUCUCUUUCUUUCUUAAGAUAACUACUAUCAUAUAUUUGUUUUGGACUGCAUGUUAAUAAAAUUAUAUAAUAUGUAUUUUAUUAACUUCAUAAUAAAAAUACUUUUUAAAAUAA